GUGAGCUAGCUAAAAUGCUAGUUUGACACUUGUUAGCCAUUUCUAUUUUUAGCUUACAAAACAGUGAUUCUAAUAAUACUUGUAUGAAUUCAUAGACACUUGAUCUCAUAACAGCAUCCAAAAAAGUACAUCACAAAGAAAAGUAGUUUUUUUUACCUCAAAAACAACUUUUGUUGAUAAGUCAGUCAGGAAGUUUCAAAUGUGGCUCCCUCUUUGGGAGAAUGGAGGGAAACUGACAGAGCACAAGCACAGUGAGUGUCAUCACUCUAGGUUGUUUCUGAUUGGAGGAAUUCAAGGUGUUACAACCGUCCCCUGUUACAACUGUCCCUGGUCUCCCCUAAUGAACAACAUGUACAGAUAUGUGCAAUUUAGUAGGAGUAACAUAGUAAGAAUAAUAUAGAUAUAUGCUGUCAGGGCCCCACCUCCCUGAGCUGUCUCCCCUUCCCUUUUGUGUGUCUCCCUUGCCUCUGCCCCUUUUUGUGUCUGUGUUGUUUGUCUCCGUCCGUCUCUUUUUGUUCCUCAGUUUCCUGAAUUCCCACUACCACUGAAGGCACCCCGGCACCAAGGCUGCUGCAAUCACUACAAUCUACUACACCUGCUCCAGUCCACGCACCUGGGGCUGAUUGCCACUCUCCCUAUAUUAGGGAGAGGUCUGCUUUCAGUCCCGGCCAGAUAAUUGUUUCAGCCACGUAACUAUCACUUGCGUUCCUACGCUGUUCUCCCUCCACCACCGGCCACUGCCUUUUUCCCCUCCUCAACUGGAUCAUCUGUUUGGACUCCCCGUGCCGACCACUGCCUUGCUCUCCGUGUCUCUGGAUCCCCCAGCCUGUUCCCGACUAUUCUCGCCUGCCGUUUUGUACUUCUGCUGAGCCACUACCUACCCAUACUCAUUCCCAUAACCUCCACGACGGAACACCAUCUACAUUAUUCAUUUUUUAAUAAACUGUAGUAUUAUUGA